UUUUCCUAACCAAGGACUGAAGAGCCUUGAUGAUGUCGAUACGGAACAAGCAAAGGAGAUCAUGGGGUACCAAAGAAACCCUAGUCUGAAAGACAUGAAGAAGAAGGAGUUUCCAGAAGAGUACAAAUUCCUUGCUGAAAUAGUAGGGAAAUGCAUACUGUUCAAGGACACUACACAUGACACGGUGCUUGAUCAGCAGUUGAAGAUAAU
rnacentral:lncRNA from 1 species